AAUUCGCCCUUGAGCACGUAGGUGGGUUUGUAAGUCAGAUGUGAAAGCCUUCUGUUCAACGGAAGAAUUGCAUCUGAAACUACAAGUCUUGAGUGUAGGAGGGGAGAAUGGAACUUCUGGUGGAGCGGUGAAAUCCGUAGAUAUCAGAAGGAACGCCGGCGGCGAAAGCGAUUCUCUGGCCUAUUACUGACACUCAGUGUGCGAAAGCUAGGGGAGCAAACGGGAUUAGAUACCCCGGUAGUCCUAGCCGUAAACGAUGGGCACUAAGUAGAGGGGAUUACCGACGUUCUCUCUGCCGUAGCUAAUGCAUUAAGUGCCCCGCCUGGGGAGUACGGCCGCAAGGCUAAAACUCAAAAGAAUUGACGGGGGCUCGCACAAGCGGUGGAGCACGUGGCUUAAUUCGAUGCAACGCGAAGAACCUUACCGGGGCUUGACAUGGUAGAAGUAGGAACCCGAAAGGGUAACGAACGGUAUCCAGUCCGUAACUAUCACAGGUGUUGCAUGGCUGUCGUCAGCUCGUGUCGUGAGACGUUGGGUUAAGUCCCCUAACGAGCGAAACCCUUGUUUUUAGUUACCAGCGGGUUGUGCCGGGUACUCUAGAAAGACUGCCGUCGUCAAGACGGAGGAAGGUGGGGAUGACGUCAAGUCAUCAUGGCCCUUAUGCCCCGGGCUGCACACGCGCUACAAUGGUCGGUACAAACGGAAGCGAAGCCGAGAGGUGAAGCGAAUCCAAGGGCGAAUU
rnacentral:rRNA from 1 species